rnacentral:rRNA from 1 species
GAUGAACGCUGGCGGCGUGCCUAAUACAUGCAAGUCGAGUGAACAGACGAGGAGCUUGCUCCUCUGACGUUAGCGGCGGAUGGGUGAGUAACACGUGGAUAACCUACCUAUAAGACUGGGAUAACUUCGGGAAACCGGAGCUAAUACCGGAUAAUAUAUUGAACCGCAUGGUUCAAUAGUGAAAGACGGUUUUGCUGUCACUUAUAGAUGGAUCCGCGCCGCAUUAGCUAGUUGGUAAGGUAACGGCUUACCAAGGCAACGAUGCGUAGCCGACCUGAGAGGGUGAUCGGCCACACUGGAACUGAGACACGGUCCAGACUCCUACGGGAGGCAGCAGUAGGGAAUCUUCCGCAAUGGGCGAAAGCCUGACGGAGCAACGCCGCGUGAGUGAUGAAGGUCUUCGGAUCGUAAAACUCUGUUAUUAGGGAAGAACAAAUGUGUAAGUAACUAUGCACGUCUUGACGGUACCUAAUCAGAAAGCCACGGCUAACUACGUG